rnacentral:rRNA from 1 species
UACGUAGGGGGCGAGCGUUGUCCGGAGUUACUGGGCGUAAAGGGCAUGCAGGCGGUCCGACACGUUUUGUGUGACAGCGGGUGGCUUAACUACCCGAGGAUACGAAAGACGGUUGGACUUGAGGACUCGAGAGGGACACGGAAUUCCGGGUGGAGUGGUGAAAUGCGUAGAGAUCCGGAGGAACACCGAAGGCGAAGGCAGUGUCCUGGCGAGUGACUGACGCUGAGGUGCGAAAGCUAGGGGAGCAAACAGG